rnacentral:lncRNA from 1 species
GUGAUGAUUGGUACAGGUUAACCAGAUAAAGGUGAAAGAAUUGAUAUGUCCUAAUUUGCCAGGAAUCAUUAUCAUUAUUUUCUUAAGUCAUAACUGAAUAUUGAAUUUUAUCAGAUGUUUUCUGCUUCCCUUGAGAUGAAUGUAUUUCCUCUUUACUCUGUUAAUAUAGUGCUGGGGCCAGCCAUCUUUUUCUUAAAGAGCCAGAAAGUAAAUAUUUUAGGAUUUGCAGGCUGUAUGAUGAGGUCUUUGUCACACUACUCAACUCUGCCAUUGUAGCAUAAAAGCAGUCAUAAUAAUUUAAUAAUUUAAAUAGUUUUUUUUUAACCUUAGUUCUUUCCCCCCUUUCUAUUCGACAAAGCUGCCAUUGUCAUCCUGGCCCGUUCUCAAUGAGCUGUUGGGCACACCUCCCAGACGGGGUGGUGGCCGGGCAGAGCUGACUUCGAAUAUUGGUAAAGAUAUUUGGAGCAUCCAGUACUCUUUACAAACCGCAAGAAGCCCUGGUGGUUUCUUAAUAAAACUAAUCUGACACCUCCUCAUGACCUAGCAAUUAAGACUGCUUCUAACACAUCAAGUGCACUUUCAGGGAUAUGUGUGGUUUGGAAAUACAAAUUUGGGAAUUGUCAACUUACAGAUAAUAUUUAGACAAGAGAAAACAUGUAAGGAUCAAACCAUGUUACUAAUUUCUUAUUUCUUAAGAUGGUUAUUCAGUUAAUUCUUUUUUUAAAAUUCUUUUUUUCUAAUAUGCAUGGAUCCAAUUGUAAAGUUAAGGCAAUUUCUAAAAUUUCUAAACACAUGAGACUUUUUUGUAUUCUUUGAUGCUUUGUGUUAAUUAUUGAAUUCUGGUGAGAGAUGAUAUUCUGUAUGAUAAUGAUUCUUUGGUAGAGUUGAGAUUUCUUUUAGGGCCUAGCAUCUAAACAAUUUUCCUAAAAAAUUGUGCUUAAAAAAUUCCUCAAAUUGUUGGGUGCAGGUUUCCCCAUAUUCUCAUUUUAUCAAGCUUAUUAUGUGUACAGAAAACAUUAAAUUUAAUUUUUAACAAUUCUUAUUGAUACAUAAUAUUUGUACAUUUUUAUGGAAUACAUGUGAUAUUUUGCUAAGUGCAUAGAAUGUGC